AGGGCGCACGGUGGAUGCCUUGGCACUAGGAGCCGAUGAAGGACGGGACUAACACCGAUAUGCUUUGGGGAGCUGUAAGUAAGCUAUGAUCCAGAGAUUUCCGAAUGGGGGAACCCAAUAUCUUUUAUAGGAUAUUACUUUUCAGUGAAUACAUAGCUGAUUAGAGGUAGACGCAGAGAACUGAAACAUCUUAGUACCUGCAGGAAGAGAAAGAAAAUUCGAUUCCCUGAGUAGCGGCGAGCGAAACGGGAAGAGCCCAAACCAACAAGCUUGCUUGUUGGGGUUGUAGGACUCCAAUAUGGUAGUCUGUUAGUAUAGUUGAAGGAUUUGGAAAAUUCCGCUAAAGAGGGUGAAAGCCCCGUAGACGAAAUGCUAACAACGCCUAGGAGGAUCCUGAGUACGGCGGAACACGAGAAAUUCCGUCGGAAUCCGCGGGGACCAUCCCGCAAGGCUAAAUACUCCCUAGUGACCGAUAGUGAACCAGUACCGUGAGGGAAAGGUGAAAAGCACCCCGGAAGGGGAGUGAAAUAGAUCCUGAAACCGUGUGCCUACAACAAGUCAAAGCUCGUUAAUGAGUGAUGGCGUGCCUUUUGUAGAAUGAACCGGCGAGUUACGAUUGCAUGCGAGGUUAAGUCGAAGAGACGGAGCCGCAGCGAAAGCGAGUCUGAAUAGGGCGAAUGAGUAUGUAGUCGUAGACCCGAAACCAUGUGAUCUACCCAUGUCCAGGUUGAAGGUGCGGUAAAACGCACUGGAGGACCGAACCCACGUACGUUGAAAAGUGCGGGGAUGAGGUGUGGGUAGCGGAGAAAUUCCAAACGAACUUGGAGAUAGCUGGUUCUCUCCGAAAUAGCUUUAGGGCUAGCCUCGGAAUUGAGAAUGAUGGAGGUAGAGCACUGUUUGGACUAGGGGCCCAUCUCGGGUUACCGAAUUCAGAUAAACUCCGAAUGCCAUUCAUUCAUAUCCGGGAGUCAGACUGUGAGUGAUAAGAUCCAUAGUCGAAAGGGAAACAGCCCAGACCACCAGCUAAGGUCCCAAAAUAUAUGUUAAGUGGAAAAGGAUGUGGGGUUGCACAGACAACUAGGAUGUUGGCUUAGAAGCAGCCACCAUUUAAAGAGUGCGUAAUAGCUCACUAGUCGAGUGACCCUGCGCCGAAAAUGUACCGGGGCUAAACAUAUUACCGAAGCUGUGGACUACACCAUUAGGUGUAGUGGUAGGAGAGCGUUCUAAGGGCGUUGAAGGUCGAUCGUGAGGACGGCUGGAGCGCUUAGAAGUGAGAAUGCCGGUAUGAGUAGCGAAAGACAGGUGAGAAUCCUGUCCACCGUAUGACUAAGGUUUCCUGGGGAAGGCUCGUCCGCCCAGGGUUAGUCGGGACCUAAGCCGAGGCCGAUAGGCGUAGGCGAUGGACAACAGGUUGAUAUUCCUGUACCAGUUGUUUUUGUUUGAGCAAUGGAGGGACGCAGUAGGCUAAGGAAUGCAUGCGAUUGGAAGUGCAUGUCCAAGCAAUGAGUCUUGAGUAGAGUUAAAUGCUUUACUCUUUAAGGACAAGUUGUGACGGGGAGCGAAAUAAUAGUAGCGAAGUUCCUGAUGUCACACUGCCAAGAAAAGCUUCUAGUGAGAAAACAACUGCCCGUACCGUAAACCGACACAGGUAGUCGAGGAGAGUAUCCUAAGGUGAGCGAGCGAACUCUCGUUAAGGAACUCGGCAAAAUGACCCCGUAACUUCGGGAGAAGGGGUGCUGACUUCGGUCAGCCGCAGUGAAUAGGCCCAAGCGACUGUUUAUCAAAAACACAGGUCUCUGCAAAAUCGUAAGAUGAAGUAUAGGGGCUGACGCCUGCCCGGUGCUGGAAGGUUAAGAGGAUGGGUUAGCUUCGGCGAAGCUCAGAAUUGAAGCCCCAGUAAACGGCGGCCGUAACUAUAACGGUCCUAAGGUAGCGAAAUUCCUUGUCGGGUAAGUUCCGACCCGCACGAAAGGCGUAACGAUUUGGGCACUGUCUCAACGAGAGACUCGGUGAAAUUUUAGUACCUGUGAAGAUGCAGGUUACCCGCGACAGGACGGAAAGACCCCAUGGAGCUUUACUGUAGUUUGAUAUUGAGUGUCUGUACCGCAUGUACAGGAUAGGUAGGAGCCGUAGAAAUCGGAACGCUAGUUUCGAUGGAGGCGCUGGUGGGAUACUACCCCUGCGUUAUGGCCACUCUAACCCGCACCACUAAUCGUGGUGGGAGACAGUGUCAGAUGGGCAGUUUGACUGGGG
rnacentral:rRNA from 1 species